rnacentral:rRNA from 1 species
GGCUCAGAUUGAACGCUGGCGGCAGGCUUAACACAUGCAAGUCGAGCGGAGAGAGGUAGCUUGCUACUGAUCUUAGCGGCGGACGGGUGAGUAAUGCUUAGGAAUCUGCCUAUUAGUGGGGGACAACAUCUCGAAAGGGAUGCUAAUACCGCAUACGUCCUACGGGAGAAAGCAGGGGAUCUUCGGACCUUGCGCUAAUAGAUGAGCCUAAGUCGGAUUAGCUAGUUGGUGGGGUAAAGGCCUACCAAGGCGACGAUCUGUAGCGGGUCUGAGAGGAUGAUCCGCCACACUGGGACUGAGACACGGCCCAGACUCCUACGGGAGGCAGCAGUGGGGAAUAUUGGACAAUGGGGGGAACCCUGAUCCAGCCAUGCCGCGUGUGUGAAGAAGGCCUUAUGGUUGUAAAGCACUUUAAGCGAGGAGGAGGCUACUUUAGUUAAUACCUAGAGAUAGUGGACGUUACUCGCAGAAUAAGCACCGGCUAACUCUGUGCCAGCAGCCGCGGUAAUACAGAGGGUGCAAGCGUUAAUCGGAUUUACUGGGCGUAAAGCGCGCGUAGGCGGCUAAUUAAGUCAAAUGUGAAAUCCCCGAGCUUAACUUGGGAAUUGCAUUCGAUACUGGUUAGCUAGAGUGUGGGAGAGGAUGGUAGAAUUCCAGGUGUAGCGGUGAAAUGCGUAGAGAUCUGGAGGAAUACCGAUGGCGAAGGCAGCCAUCUGGCCUACAC